GACAGAGGUGCCAAGCGUUAGGCGGAAUCACUGGGCUUAAAGCGUGUGUAGGCGGGUCGUUAAGUGUCUUGUGAAAUCCCCCGGCUCAACCGGGGAAUGGCUGGGCAUACUGGCGAUCUUGAGCAGUCUAGGGGCAGAUGGAACAGACGGUGGAGCGGUGAAAUGCGUAGAUAUCGUCUGGAACGCCAAAGGUGAAAACAGUCUGCUGGGGACUUGCUGACGCUGAGACACGAAAGCCAGGGGAGCGAACGGG
rnacentral:rRNA from 1 species